rnacentral:rRNA from 1 species
GGAAAAGAAACCAACAGGGAUUGCCUCAGUAACGGCGAGUGAAGCGGCAAAAGCUCAAAUUUGAAAUCUGGCUCUUUCAGGGUCCGAGUUGUAAUUUGUAGAAGAUGCUUCGGGUGUGGUCCCGGUCUAAGUUCCUUGGAACAGGACGUCAUAGAGGGUGAGAAUCCCGUAUGUGACUGGGUACCUACGCUCAUGUGAAGCUCUUUCGACGAGUCGAGUUGUUUGGGAAUGCAGCUCAAAAUGGGUGGUAAAUUUCAUCUAAAGCUAAAUAUUGGCCAGAGACCGAUAGCGCACAAGUAGAGUGAUCGAAAGAUGAAAAGCACUUUGGAAAGAGAGUUAAACAGUACGUGAAAUUGUUGAAAGGGAAGCGCUUGCAAUCAGACUUGCGCCUAGUUGAUCAUCCGGGCUUCUGCCCGGUGCACUCGAUUAGGCUCAGGCCAGCAUCGGUUUGGGUGGUUGGAUAAAGGCUUGGGGAACGUAGCCUCCUUCGGGGGGUGUUAUAGCCCCAGGUGCAAUGCAGCCUACCUGGACCGAGGACCGCGCUUCGGC